rnacentral:rRNA from 1 species
AUUGAACGCUGGCGGCAGGCCUAACACAUGCAAGUCGAACGCGUGGCGGACGGGUGAGUAAUGUCUGGGAAAAUGCCUGAAGGCGGGGGAUAACAAAUGGGAAAGGUAGUUAAUAUAGCAUACCCUAUGAGGUGCCCAGAUGGGAUUAGCUUGAUGGUGGGGUAACGGCUCACCAAGACGACGAUCCCUAGCUGGUCUGAGAGGGUGACCAGCCACACGGGAACUGAGACACGGUCCAGACUCCUACGGGAGGAAGCAGUGGGGAAUAUUGCACAAUGGGCGAAAGCCUGGUGCAGCCAUGCCGCGUGUAUGAAGAAGGCCUUCGGGUUGUAAAGUACUUUCAGCGAGGAGGCGUUACCCGCAGAAGAAGCACCGGCUAACUCCGUGCCAGCAGCCGCGGUAAUUC